rnacentral:lncRNA from 1 species
GUACCAAAAGUAGAAAAAAAAAUACAUAUAGCAAGAAAAACAUAGCCGCAUGUAUUGUUCUAAUCGCUGACUUGGAAUGAUAAUUUGACUAUUGAGUUGGAUACUUGAAGAAGAUGAAAUACAUAAAGAAAAAAACGCAAGAAAAAAUAGUAGCAUGUAUUGAGUUGGAUACACAGCCGCAUGUAUUGUUCCAAUACAGCAAUAAAAAAAAAAGGUCAAAAGGGAAAAACUCAUAACCUAAUUUUCACAAAAAAAUUAAUAAAAGAGGAAAUAUAUAGAGAAAGAAGAGAGAAUAAGCAUAUUUGGGGGUGGGGGGAGAGAGAAACCUUGGAGAAGAUAGCAGAGAAGAACCCUAGGGAGAAGAAGAUGAAAAUAACGUCGUCGGAUUUUUCACAUGAAAGUGUGUGUACUUUUUUCCUAGCUGUAUAAUUAAGCGUAUAUUAUCUAAACCGGGGUGUGUAAGUUGUAUUAGUUAGCCAGGUAAGGAGAGUAUUAAAAGCCCAACCCGUAUAAAAUAGUUAGGUAAUUAAAUAAUACAAGUUCAUACCAAACACCUGACAUGGACUAUUUACUCUUAUCCAAAGUCUAAUACGGUGUACCAAACGAGCCCUCAAGGGUACUGAGGACUUUGACUCUACGGAAUCAGCCUUUGGGUAGAACUAGAGUACUUCAUACGGUAAAAAUC